CAGUGGGGAAUAUUGCACAAUGGGGGAAACCCUGAUGCAGCCAUGCCGCGUGUGUGAAGAAGGCCUUCGGGUUGUAAAGCACUUUCAGCGAGGAGGAAAGGUCAGUAGCUAAUAUCUGCUGGCUGUGACGUUACUCGCAGAAGAAGCACCGGCUAACUCCGUGCCAGCAGCCGCGGUAAUACGGAGGGUGCAAGCGUUAAUCGGAAUUACUGGGCGUAAAGCGCACGCAGGCGGUUGGAUAAGUUAGAUGUGAAAGCCCCGGGCUCAACCUGGGAAUUGCAUUUAAAACUGUCCAGCUAGAGUCUUGUAGAGGGGGGUAGAAUUCCAGGUGUAGCGGUGAAAUGCGUAGAGAUC
rnacentral:rRNA from 5 species